UUACUCGGGGCGGAGUGAAAGUCUCCACCGGCGGUGAUUUUUAUAACAAAAUAAGUCCGCGAGCACAAUAAACGUGUUGAUUUGGUGAGAUUCCAAAACCGACGGUGAUAGUCCGGAUGGAAGAGAAG
rnacentral:ncRNA from 1 species